CAGUAGCCACGGGAAUACGAAGGGUGCAAGCGUUACUCGGAAUUACUGGGCGUAAAGCGUGUGUAGGUGGUUGUUUAAGUCUGUCGUGAAAGCCCUGGGCUCAACCUGGGAAUUGCGAUGGAUACUGGGCGACUAGAGUGCGGUAGAGGAUAGUGGAAUUUCCGGUGUAGCAGUGAAAUGCGUAGGGAUCGGAAGGAACAUCUGUGGCGAAGGCGACUAUCUGGGCCAACACUGACACUGAGACACGAAAGCGUGGGGAGCAAACAGGAUUAGAUACCCGCGUAGUCCCUGUCUCUUAUAA
rnacentral:rRNA from 1 species